rnacentral:sRNA from 1 species
UCUGGAAUGUGGAAACUGGGUCAGAAAGGAGGAGGGAGGGUGGCAGUGCUGGAGCCAGAGCUGGGAAGCUGUGAGUAGUGGGUGGGCAGCUACACGCCCCGCCCCCACGAGAGCAGUUGGUUCUGCCUAGGUGCCCACUGCCUCAAGAGCUACCCUGCACCCCCAUCUUCCCACCUACCUGCCUGCAUCUGGUCCUGUGAGCACAUGGGCUCAGGGUGGAGAAACAAACAGAGCUACAUGCCUCUCAGCCAACAACUCAGAACCAACACGGGAAGGCUGGGAAAUGGACGUAAAGGACCAUAUUCUAAUAGAAACCACUGUAUCAUGGUGACUUUUCAGCAGAUGGUGGCAGAGUGUCAUAGGAGACAGUGCCCUUUUUUAACUCGGCACAAAACUACCACACGGACCAGCUGCAGCUCUGGCCAGAAACCUGGAAAUCUGGUGCCUUUGGCUUUCCUGGGUGGCAGGCUGCCCACCCGGAUAUUUCCUGUGCCCUCCCCUGGUGAACAGCCCGAAGUGGAAUGAACGCCAACCUCCUGCAUACGGUACUCAC